AGCAGCCGCGGUAAUUCCAGCUCCAAUAGCGUAUAUUAAAGUUGUUGCAGUUAAAAAGCUCGUAGUUGAAUUUCGGGAUUUAUCCGUUGGUCGGGCUUUUGGUCUGUACUGGCGCGAUGGAUUCCUACCUUCUGAAUAACCGGCAUGCCAUUAAUUUGGUGCGCCGGGGAAGCAGGACUGUUACCUUGAAAAAAUUAGAGUGCUUAAAGCAGGCCUAUGCCUGAAUACAUUAGCAUGGAAUAAUGAAAUAGGACGCAUGGUUCUAUUUUGUUGGUUUCUAGGAUCACCGUAAUGAUUAAUAGGGAUAGUUGGGGGCAUUAGUAUUCAAUUGUCAGAGGUGAAAUUCUUGGAUUUAUUGAAGACUAACUUCUGCGAAAGCAUUUGCCAAGGAUGUUUUCAUUAAUCAAGAACGAAAGUUAGGGGAUCGAAGACGAUCAGAUACCGUCGUAGUCUUAACCAUAAACUAUGCCGACUAGGGAUCGGACGAUGUUAAUUUUUUAAUGACUCGUUCGGCGCCUUA
rnacentral:rRNA from 1 species